rnacentral:lncRNA from 1 species
UGUGGUUGCUGGAAUUUGAACUCAAGACCUUCGGAAGAGCAGUCGGUGCUCUUAACUGCUGAGCCAUCUCUCCAGCCCAACUUUUAAUAUUAUAAUGAGAGAUGGAGUUUUACCCAACUUGCCCAGGUGACUUCAAACUUGCUCUGUAGUCUCUGCAGACCUUGAACUUGAGACUCUUGUCUCAGCCUUUGGAGUGGCUGACUGAGGUUACAGUUGUGCCGCAGGAGGCCCUGACUCAAGGAUACUUUCUUAUGUGGUAGGAAAUGACAGACAGGCUUGGGGAGAAAGAGCAGGAAGACAUGACUAGAUGUAUUUCUGAAGAGGCUUUUGGACUGAGGUUGUAUGGUGCUGGAAGUCCUCUUCGUUGAGGUGGUAUUAAAUAAGGCUGUUACAGCUUACAACUCUGUGGCUCCAGGGUGCUCCUAUAUUGGCAUGCAUUCAUAUUCAUGGAUGACUUCAUUUUCAUCUGCAGACUCCCACAGUUCUUGAAAGCCUGGAGUCUUCCUCAUCAACAGUGUGUGUGUUUAUAAAACCCACACCCAUCUCCUGGGCAAAAUGGCUCUCUCAAGCCUGAGCUGGUGGCACUGGCCUUGUGACUGGUGGAGGCUGAAGGCUGUCCCAGGGCCCCCCGGGGAUGUGAGGUUGGAUAAUGACAUCUCAUUGGGGAUUGGGGGAGAGGUGGGAGGUGCCACAGACCCUGGCAUCUUCAAACCUCCCAUCAGUGCAAAUCAAUGCAAAAUUAAAAUUCAUGAUGGUUCCGGGGCACAACUGCAAACAAUUUGUUCAGUAAACUUGGCUCUAAUUGGCAUUGGUAGAAUUUCCUGUUAAUCAGGCCCCUUGGGCUCUGUGGGUCUGGGAUGCUCUGUCUCCCCGUGACAGGACAGGCAGCAUGGAAGUGGGGCUGAGAGGAAGGGAGCAGGGAGGAUGUUCAGAUGUGGGCAGCUGCAGCCACGUGCCUGGGUGUGUGUUGCUGUGUAGACCCAAGGGCCAGGUUGGAGUGUCGUCUACAGGUACUUUUUUUUUUCUGGGGGGUGCGAUGGGGGGCUUCUGUGCCAUACUGUGUAGCUUCCCAUAGAGAUGGGAGUUGGGUGUGCCUGAGUCUACCUGGAGCUACUUAGGCAGUAAUAUGUGUGUCAAGGGUGUGCAAAAGUAGCAUAGUAAUACAUAUCAGCUGGGGCACGUGUGCAGGGGACAUGUGUAUGCAUCUGUCAGAGUACAUAUGUAAGGACUUGCAUGUUAUGUCCGUUGUCUAGGCAUGGUCUGUGGAGUGUUUGUGGAUCAGCAGAAUGGAGUCAGAAUUUCAACAUGGAGUCUCCUGGGCCCACAACCUUCUGCUUUCUCGUUGACUCUGAAGAUGGUAAGGCGACUGGUAAGCCAGUUGGUCCUCAGAGGGUCUCCUACCUGCUGUUUCUGACUGAUCAUUAAAGGAGGGCUGGACUCCCAGUGGCAACCGUGCUGUCUCCCAAUGCCUACCACGCUUUUCUCUAGGUCUCCAUCAUCUAUCAUCACCAAGGACUCAAGCCCCAGGCCAAAGGCUUUUGAGGGCUUUGCUGUUGAAAUGAUCCAUGGUCCCAGCUAUGACAAAAACCCACACGGAGAAAUCUCCAGCAACAAAUGCUUAAUGAAGUGCCAGCAAAGCAUCACAUUAUGCAAAGCUGCCCAACUCAUCCGGCGCCUGCACCAUCAGCUCAUCCUGUGGGCUUUACCUCCCCUAACCGGCGCAUCCGGAGCCUGAGCUCUUAGAAACACCUCCAUUACUGCCUUCUUGGAUAAGCACCCAUCUACUGCUGGCUGGAUUAUUGCUGUAGCCUUCUAAGUCUCCUUCGCUUCCCAGCUGGGCUCCCUCCAGGCCAUUCCAAUGCCACACCAGAGAGGUAGCUUUAACUAUGAAUCAGAUCAUCCCUAAAACCCUCGAAAGCAAUUUCGACUCAUGAGAAUAGAAGCUCAGGGUCAUUAUAAAGGCCGACAAGCCGCAGUAUAAUCUGAACUCCCAUUAUUUCAAGACUCUGGUUCUAGCCAGGUAGUGGUGGUAUUCUGUUAGUCCUGGUCAGUACUCAGGAUGCAGGGGCAGGUGGAUCUAUGUGAGUUCUAGGCCAGCUUAGUCUAUAGAGGGAGUUCCAGGACAGCCAGGACUAUACAGAGAAACUGUGUCUCAAAAAAGACUAACUCCUACUACUCUUUCCUACAACUCCCUGAUAUGGUCCACCUCAGAGUCUUUGCACUUACUUAGCCUUCUCUUCUAAUCCUUCAUUAUUAUUCUUAGACUCAUUUGUCUGUCUGUCUGUCUGUUUGAGACAUGGUUUCUUUGUAUAGCCCUGGCUGUCCUGAAACUCAUUUUGUGGACCAGGCUAGCUUUGAACUCACAGAGAUCUGCUUGCCUCUGCCUCCAGAGUGCUCUGAUUAAAGGCUUACGCCACAUUGCAUGGUGGCUUUAUUUUAGUUGUCACUGUUCCCAUCAAUGCUUCCCCUUCUGCUGCUUGGUUCUAGCAUAUUUGCCAUCUGUUAGUGAUUAGUUAUUUUCCUAUUGUCGUGUCAGAAUACCAUGACCAAGGCGACUUAUAAGAGAAAGCAUUUAAUGGGAGCUAACAGUUUUAGAGGGUGAGCUUACAUCUGAUCUGAUGCACAGGUAGGCAUGGAGGAAGGAAAGGGAGACGGAGGGGGGGGAGGUGGAGGAGGAGGGGAAGGGGGAGGGAGAGAAUUGGGAAUGGUGUGGGCUUUUGAGACCACCCCCAGCAACAUAUCCCACCAACAAGGCCACACCUCCUAAUCCUUCCCAAACAUUUCCAUCAACCGAGGACCAAGCAUUUUAAUACAUGAGCCUGUGGAGCCAUUCUCAUUCAAUCUACACCAGUCCUGUUGUGAUAUAAGUUAUUUAUUUAUCAUGCUUGUGGUCACACAGGUGGGGUGUUUGGCUAUGUUACUCAGUGUUGUUAUCACAGUGGCUUAUUAACCAGCUAAGAGGGAUCACUGCCAAGCAGAAUAUUAAGUUUUUACAUUAAAUUUUUAAAACUUACUUAUUUUUAUCGUAUAAAGGUUUUGCCUGUAUGUAUGUUCAACAUGUGUGUGCCUAGGCCCUGUGGAGGUCAGAAGAGGGCAUCAGAUCCCAUGGAACAGGAGUUAUAGGUGGCUGUGAGCCACUGUAUGGGUGCUGGGAUUCGAACCUGGGUUUUCUGAAGAGCAGCCAGUGCUUUUAACCUCUGGGCCAUCUCUCCAUCCCUUAAAAGUUUCUCUCUCUCUCUCUCUCUCUCUCUCUCUCUCUCUCUCUCUCUCUCUCUCUCUCUCUCUCUCUCUCUCCCCAGAGUCUCAAGUAUUCCAGGCUAGUCUCAAAUUCACUGAAGCUAUAGCUGAGGAUGGCCUUGAACUUCUUGCCCCGUCUCUACCUCCAAAGUGCUAGGGUUACAGCUGUGCACACAUGCCUAGUUUAUGUGGUGCUAGAAUCAAACCCAAGGCUUCAAAUACACUAGCCAAGCAAUCCAAGGCUUCAAAUACACUAGCCAAGCAAUCUAAGCAGUUUGGCCAUGUCCACAGCUCAAAGGAAUACUACUUCUAUUUGAAAUUAUUUUUAACUGUUGUUUGUUUCAUUGAGUCCUAACAGCAGCCCUCCAUGGCAACAACUGUUAUUGGCUCCAUGUUCUAGGUGAGGCAGCUGAGGCUCCAGGAGUCUGUGUAGAGUUGUGGCAUCUUCCAGAUCUCAGCACACAAACUAGUGCCAGGCUGCCUGGCCUAGUCCUGGCCCCUGCAUGGUCCCAGGCGUGGGAAAGUAGGCAAACUUUUGUCCUGGCUAUGCCCGUGCUUGUGGGAUGGGAGCAAUGGCUGUCUUGACCACUAGGGGCUGUUGGAGCCUCAGUGGGUGAUACCUGAAUAGUCUUGUGCCUGGGCCAUGUGGUUGGCUCAGGGUCAGCUGUUGUUAUCAGGGUUUAUGCUGCUGUUUGAGUCACAGGCCUUGGGCUUUUCCCUCUCCGGGGUCUCCAUCACAUUUCCACAGGGACUUCAGGUCAGCUAGGGCCUCUGCCUUCAAUGGCAGCAGCCAGGCUUGUCCGGUCCCAUUUGUUUAGGUGGAAUUUAAUUUCUCCCUAAGCCGAGAGUCUUCUGCCCCCUCCUGCCCUCUCUCUCGCUCUCAUCAGCUGGAAAAUGAGCUCUGGGAGCUUUCCCCCUAGUCCAGAAAUCCAAGGUGAAGAAUUUCAUUAACAAUCAAGAGGACAUAAUCAACAUUCUAAUAAUUCCAGAUCCACACUGCCUCUUUGGUAGCCCCCUCCCCCAGCACCCUAUCCCCCACUCCAUCCUGUUCUCUGCUCUCCUAGAUGUUCUCACCUUGACAAAGAAAUCUCAUUUCCUUUCCAGCCCAAUUUGCCUUGCUAUUAGAUUCAGGACCUUACCUCUGGUGUGAUGUUGAGAGAUGUUCCACCCCUAGACUUCUGCCUCAGAAGGACACAGGUGUUAACAAGGGACUCCCCAGAGGCUGGCUCCUUCGUCCCUCCUGCAUGGUUUUGCGGUGCAUACAUGGUCUAUUUCCUCUUCAGGGACCCAGGGAUCUUAGCCCCUUGGCCGGAGAAGUGGAACUUCUGAUUGAGACAGAGGGAACCCUGGUGAUUUUCCUGGACUGACAAAUAUUCUAGAAAAAUGAAUAGCCUUUCAUUCAUACCAGAUACACUUCACGUAGCUUAAGGGCCCCACCUCAAAGCCCCUACCUCAGCCAUUGGAAAGAUUUCUCCUAUGUCACUUUCUGGCUACAUAACCUCGGGUGUUAAGCUUUCUAAGCUUGAGUCUAGAUGGUAGAACUCUACAAGUAUGUAGAUGGUGCCUGGUGAGAGAGACACACAUGAGAGACAGAGCUAAACUGGCCUCUGUAUCAGACCCACUUUGCAGAUAACCCAUUAGCCCUUGACCCUGUAAAUACACAAAUGUGUGGCUCAGAGCCAGAACACUGACUUAGCAUGUGGGAGAUUCUGGGUUUGACUCCCAGUAUUUGAAAACUCACCCAUGCACACACGCAUGCACGCAAUUUUAAAAAACCAUCAGUGGGUUCAUAUAUUCAUGAGCACGUGCUUUUCCAGCCAUGCCUGUGCUUUCCACUUCCCUGCCCUUAGCAGAACCAUUUUUCUGUCUACCUGGCAGGGUACUCCCCUCUGCUCUCACUGGCCCUCAAGACUAGGUGCUUGUCAAUGUCUAGUUUCUCUUCUUUACAAAGUCUCUCCUUUCAAAAGCCAGGUGUUAGUGGUCCAGGCUUUUAAUCCCAGGACUCAGGAUGUAAAGGCGAGCAGAUUGCUGAGUUCACAGCCAGCCUGGUCUGAAAGGAACCUCCGGCUGUAAAGGUGCAUCUGCAUGGUGGUCAGAGGCUUCUCACAUCUGGAGUUGAAACAUGAGGAACAAAGAGAUGAUGGGACUAAGUGAUGGGGGCUGUGCCAAAGGACAGGCAGACCCCCCGAGGCCCAGAACUGCUGGAUGACCGCUACUAGUGAGGAUGCUGUAGUCAGGUCUUGAGGUCAGACUGGCCUUGUAUUCCGCAGGAGGAAUUUGAGUCUCACUAUGAGGGCAGUGCGGAGGCUUGGAAGGACAUGGAGAAGAGUGGGGACUGGAGUUUUCUUACAGGUAUGUGGCUAUGGCUGCAGUGUAGGGGGCAGGGGGGGAGGGGGAGGCUGGGAGAAGAAAGAGCAAGGAGGAUGCUGUAGAGAUGACAACAAUGGACAGAUGCUUUUCAGAGGACCUCGCAGGUAGAGCUGUGGUCUGAUGGUUGCUGCAUGGAGUCUAAUGAGGGCACCCACCCCUGUGGGGCUAUCUUUCAGGGCCCAAAUAUGGGGCUUGCACAGAGAGGACAGAUCUGGAGGCUGCUGGAGCCUAGGAGAGGGUGGAUCCCAAGGCUGCGGGAGCUGCCGAGUGAGCUGGAGAUGUUCUUAGCUCCAGUCUCUGUAGCUCUGACAGAGAUCAAUCCUUUAGGGGACAACGGUGUAACUGUGCCAAGUGUCAUGGAGUGGGUCCACUGACUGGAGCUUCACCCAGGCAUGAAACCUCCAGACCUCUUCCCUUCCAGCUCUGGAGGGGCAGAUGGCUCUGUGUCAUCUUCCCCUCAAGCCUUCUCUGCCCUUCCCCCAACAAAGGAUCUACAGCAGGUCUUGCUGUGUGUGUCUGCGUGCACACCCGUGCUCGAGUCAGGAACUGUGGGAGAAGAGUGAAGGAAGAUCAAAGAAGUCCCACUUCCCUUUUUUAACGGGGACAGAGGGGCUGUUCCCACUUGUGGGGGAGGAAAGACAGAUGGCUGGGAGUCUGCGUGAAGGUCUCCCGCCUUCACCCCUCUGGCCCCCAAUUCUUUCUCCAUAUGGCACUGUAUCGUGCUCCUGUCCCAAUACUUCCUAUGGCUCUUCUGUGCCCUCUGGAUGAAGUGAAAGUCCUCAAACAGGGCCUCAGCCAGCCUCCAGCCUCUACCCUUGCCAUCACUCUCCUCCAGGGCCUCUUUCCUGUAUUCUUCCCUGUGUCUGGAACAGUUUCCUUAUCCAGCCCCCACACUGUAUCCUUGGGUAAAUAGAAUCGUCUUCCUCAUCCCUUACCUCAGAAACCAGGCACCCUACUCAUUCUCAUUCCACUCAUACAAGCUAGAAAAGUUUCCUCUUCUGAGUUCCCAUGGGCCACUGCUGGCCAUCAGACCCUCCAGGCAGUCUGUGACUCUUCUUCUUUUUCUUUUUUUUUCCUUUUCUUUUCUUCGAGGGUUUCUCUGUAUAGCCCUGGCUGUCCUGGAACUCACUCUGUAGACCAGGCUGGCUUCAAACUCAGAAAUCCACCUGCCUCUGCUUCCCAAGUGCUGGGAUUAAAGGCGUGCGCCACCACUGCCCUGCUAUCUGUGACUCUUCUAUCUUACCCCCAGUGGCUGUACUGCUGCCAGGAAGGCCAGACCUUGCCUUGCUGGCAUGCACCUUGCUUGGCACCAUGUCCACCAUUCAGAAUACAUUGAUGGAGGAAACCCCAGGAUUUAUCAAAAUGCCAACUAGUCCUGCUAGGAGCAGGCUAGACAAAGCAGAUGAAGUACUCUAUUCUAAAGGCUCAGGCAGUAGAUGACCAGGCAUAAAAAACAGGGAGAAGAAGACGCCAUGAGAUUCCCACGGUAGCAGAUGUAAGAGAGCAUGGGGAUGUGUUCUGUAUUUGACAGGCCAGGAACCCUCUUUUAUACGGUCAAACCCUUGACUCGCCCAUGGUAGAGAACCCAGCUCCUUGGAGGAGUCUACCGAAGGCUUGGGGUGAGAGUAGUGGGGAGCCAAGCUAGCUGGGUCCUAAAUUAUAGCUCAAUGCCAUCUCAAACCCCCAUGGAAGCUGAGAACUGACACCCAGGGGGUAUGGGAGACACCAGGGAUUCAAUCACAGGCUAAUAGCCUCCCAGCCUGAGAUGCAAUUAGGGGCUGAUUCCCAGGGGUCUGUGGGCAAUGGGAAGGACAGAUACUAGUUUGGAGUUGGAGGUGGGGGCCACAUCUUUAGUCCUGGGUCUUAUCAGAGAGGUCAGGAUGAGGGCACAGGAAGGGUGAGGAGGGCCCAAUCAGAAGCAAGGCUAAGAACGUACAACAACAGUGCUCAGAGGCCCUAGACCCACCAGACCCAGAGGAAUGAGGUGGGGCUUGGUCUUCAGGUUCUGCUUAAAUGACAGCUUCCACUUUACAUGACUGUUCCUGUGGGUCUCCCAAUUACAGACUAGUCCACAGCUGUCUAUGACAUUUAGCACCUGAGACUAAAUGUAGUGCUUUCUGAAGCUCAGAGGCUCUACAAGGCCCUACAGCUUCAGGCUAUGAGAGAAAAGAGUCUGUAGAUUUUAUUUUAAAAGGUAGUGGCACAGACUGGAGAGAUGGCUCAGUGGUUAAGAGCACUGACUGUUCUUUCAGAGGUCCUGAGUUCAGUUCCCAGCAAACACAUGGUGGCUCACAACCAUCUGUAAUGGGAUCUGAUGCUCUCUUCUGGUGUGUCUGAAGACAGCUACAAUGUACUCAUACACAUAAAAUAAAUAAAUGCUUUCUUUAAUUAAAAAAAAAAAAGGUGGUGGCACAUACCUUUAGUCCCAGUACUCGGGAGGCAGAGGCAGAGGCAGAGGCAGAGGCAGAGGCAGAGGCAGAGGCAGAGGCAGAGGCAGAGGCAGAGGCAGAGGAAGAGGCAGAGGAGGCAGAGGCAGAGGCAGAGGCAGAGGCAGAGGCAGAGGCAGAGGCAGAGGCAGAGGCGGCAGAGGCAGAGGCGGCAGAGGCAGAGGAGGCAGAGGCAGAGGCAGAGGCAGAGGCAGAGGCAGAGGCAGAGGCAGAGGCAGAGGCAGAGGCAGAGGCAGAGGCAGAGGCAGAGGCAGAGGCAGAGGCAGAGGCAGAGGCAGAGGCAGAGGCAGAGGCAGAGGCAGAGGCAGAGGCAGACAGAGUUCGGGGCCAGCCUGGUCUACGGAGUGAGUUCCAGGACAGCCAGGGCUAUACAAAGAAACUCUAUCUCAAAAACAAAACAAACAGAACCAAACGCAAUUAGUGUGUGUGUGCUUGCUUUAGGUUGUGUGUGUGUAUGUGUGUGUGUGUGCAUGCUCACACAUGUGUGCUUGCAGAUCUGUGCUCAUGGUAACCAGAAGAGGACAUCCGAUCCCCAAGAGUUGAGGUUGAUUGGGAGCAGCCCCACAUGGGGGCUGGAAACCAAAACUCCUACCUUCUGCAAGAGCAUCAAGGUUAAGAGCAUUCGUUCAGCCCCAGGGCUGACUUUCUACAGCGCCUCAAGUAGGGCCCGUGGGAACAAGGAAUCGUGAUUUGAGGCAGUUCAACAGUUCCCUCCUCUGAGGGGUUUAAGACUUACUAGGCUACUUCAUGACCAGAAGGAAGAGCUUGGAAGGGAGAAGAUAGUUCAACAUACCUAGCCUUUGCUGAGCACUUUGUUAUCUGUCGCACAAGCCCAGAAGAAGAAUGCUGAUAUUCAAAUUUCAUAAAAGGGUAGAUGAUGUGCUGAUCCAAGGAUGCCUGAUUAUGCAGGCUUAGGUUGCCCAGAGCCUCUCUGAAGAGGAGACCCCAUUGCUGGCUUGGGGGAUGGAGCUUAGGCAUGGUUUAUAUUCUCAUGGACCCGCAGGAUUUCCUCUACAGUUCCAUGAAAAUCAGACCAGGCUACUUAAGUACAAGGUCAUUGGCUGGGCCAUAGGUGUGGCUGUUUUCAUGCCACAUUUCAGACUCUGGGCUUCCUCCACCUGCCUACCAAACCCAGGUGCUAUGAGGUAAAGAGCUGGCUGAACCCCUGCAUGCUGAACUGGCGACUCUCGGCUGAAUAUAAACCUGGACUUCCUAGAUCCUAUAUGACUAAGUUUGGCUUCACCCAAAGCAUCACCGCUGCAAUUGUCCAAGAACGCAGAAACCAUCAGCCUCCAACUUCCCAGGAGAGGGGCUGAUCUGGUCACCCACACACACCUCCAUCAUAGGCUUUGGAAGAGGGAACCACACCUCAUCAUUCUAUCCUGGUAGCAGCCAGAGCAUGGGCCGUUGUGGGCCUCGGUUCAAAGCCCAGCUCUGCUACUUCCCAGCCCUGUAUCAAUAGUCCCAGUUUUCCUGUCCAUCCAAUGGGACACUAACAGCCUCUACCUCUGCAGAAAUCUUAAAUAAUCAUCGGUGAGGCAAGCACAGGCCCCAUGCAAAUGGUUGUUACUGUUCCACUUCGGCAACCAAAAUAGACUCAGUUAAAUUCUUGAAAGUUAAUAUUAUAUUUGCAAGUAUGCAUUUGAUAUUUGUGUGUGUGUGUGUGAGAGAGAGAGAGAGAGAGAGAGGGAGAGAGAGAGGGAGGGAGAGAGAAUGUGUGUGGGUGUGGGCGCACAUGUGCUGUGAUGCUGCUGUGCUGGUCAACUCUAAAGACUUGAUUGCUUUUCCUAUGGCUUCUUAGAGUUGUCAUCCCAGACUGGUCUUUAGAGUGCAUGGGACAAUUGUCAAGUCUACGUGAGCCGGAGCGUGCUGGCUCGCACAGAUGUGAGACAGACAUGGUUGUGUUGUUCCUGUUCUUAAGUUCCUGGUACCGGAGGAAGGGGGGAUUCUGAGGGCUUAGAACACAGAAUUAGACCCUACAGCCUUGUUUUAAAAUGGGGAGCAGAGGCUGCUAGCUCAAGGUCAGCCAGAGUCAGGAGCUGGAAAAAUCAGCCUCAAACCCAGUUUGCCUGUAGUUUUGCUUUGGAUGUCAGGAAGUGCAGGUUCCUGGAAAGAGGGACCCCUGGUAAGGGGGUUCUGCUGCUUCUAGCAACUGCCUUUAGCCCCUACAACAGUGAGGCACCCAGCUAAGGAAUCAGUGAGUGUAUGAAUGAAUGAAUGAAUGAAUGAGUGGUGAAUGAACAAAUGAAUGAAUGAGUGGUGAAUCAAUGAAUGAGUGAGUGGUGAAUGGACUGGCAGAAAGAUAAAUGUUCUUUCCAGACCAGAGAGUGUCUAUGGGAUACAGAUCACUGAUUGCCUUGACCUCUGGGCUCCCCAGGGAUGAAAUCUUCUCCAGAUGACGCCACGGGGGAGGGGAGAGAAGGCCCCACCCCAGAAGAAGCCGCUUUCUGAGGGAUGGAAAUUAGAUGGUUAGUAAGCUGUGAGAGGACUGGGGAAAGGAGGCAGGGAUGGUUGUCCUGACUACAGAGGGAGGAAUGGGACCACGGCUCUGCAUGGGAGCUGGGGAGAUGGAGAAGUGUGUGAGGUUGAUGUGCCCGAGGGAACCCUGAAUCACACUUGCUCAGAGCCUGGGACACCUGGGGGCCUCCGUUGGCAAAGGCCACCUCCAUUCCUUAGAGGCCUGGGCAAACUCAGCACUGGCUGUUUAGGAUCCUGUUGCCAUAGAGAUGUGCAGCCAGCUCCUCUUGAGUGUGUUAGAGCCACGGGGUGUGGCCUGCCCUCAAAAUGGUUUGAAGCUGAGGGUGGAGGUGAGAAAGUGAUUGGGGUAGCAGAGGGGUUUGGUGAGACACUGCCCAACACGACAGCCUCAGGCACAUACGAUAUGGCUGACACUGGCUUUAGAAUCUACAGCUCUGGUCUUGAUCCCAGUUUCUGACUUGUAGCCCUAGAUGAGAAAUAUGACACUGCCUAGCAUCAGUUCCCUCAUCUAUGAAAUGGGUUUGAUAGCAUUCUUCGUCAAGCUGCUGUGACUGUCAUUGGAACCUGUCUAGGGAAGCUCAGCGGUGGGUGGGGUGCAGCAAAGCCUCCAUUAGUAAUUGGUGCCAGGGUGGGUCUUCUCAGUAUGCCCCCACUGCACAACCCUGUGACUGGGCCUGCAUUUGGGGACCGGUGGCGAGGCUGGAGAGAAGAUCAGCUCCUUCCACAGACAGAGGCGACCAGGACUUAUGUCAUCCUUUGAACAUGGGCCUGGAGGCUCUGCCGCAGGCAGAUCUGAAAAAUAAAUAAUAACAACUUGAAUAAUUCACAGAAUCCGUGUGAAUAAUUCACCAUGGUCUCCCAAGCACCAGGCGAUUAGUCACCGCAGACCCAGGCUCCGGUCCUGUCUGCCUCUGGCUGCCCCAAGGGCCCUGGGGAGUGCA